rnacentral:rRNA from 1 species
UACAGAGGUCUCAAGCGUUGUUCGGAUUCAUUGGGCGUAAAGGGUGCGUAGGUGGCGCCGUAAGUCAGGUGUGAAAUCUCGGGGCUUAACUCCGAAACUGCAUUUGAUACUGCGGUGCUCGAGUACUGGAGAGGAGAUUGGAAUUUACGGUGUAGCAGUGAAAUGCGUAGAUAUCGUAAGGAAGACCAGUGGCGAAGGCGAAUCUCUGGACAGUUACUGACACUGAGGCACGAAGGCCAGGGGAGCAAACGGG